AUUGAACGCUGGCGGCAGGCUUAACACAUGCAAGUCGAGCGAGCGGCGGACGGGUGAGUAAUGUCUGGGAAACUGCCUGAUGGAGGGGGAUCACUACUGGAAACGGUAGCUAAUUCCGCAUACCAUCAGAUGUGCCCAUAUGGGAUUAGCUAGUAGGUGGGGUAAUGGCUCACCUAGGCGACGAUCCCUAGCUGGUCUGAGAGGUGGACCGGCCACACUGGAACUGAGACACGGUCCAGACUCCUACGGGAGGCAGCAGUGGGGAAUAUUGGACAAUGGGCGAAAGCCUGAUGCAGCCAUGCCGCGUGUGGGAAGAAGGCCUUCGGUUUGUAAAGCACGUUCAGCGAGGAGGCGUUACUCGCAGAAGAAGCAACGGCUAACUACGUGCCAGCAGCCGCGGUAAUUC
rnacentral:rRNA from 1 species